CAGAGACCUGGUCAUCCUCUGGUAUUGAUCACCUGCCUCCCUGUCCUCCAAGAUCUGGAUGUGCUCCGCCUAUGAUCUGGACGUGGAUAGGGUUUCUCUGUCUGUGCUUCUGGCAAAUGUGGUCUGAUUCAGUCAUAGCCUUAAACAAAUGUCAGCACCUUUACUGGGAAAUGUGGUGACCAGUGGAUUAGACAAACGAGAGGGCUGGAAAUGGGUCUGCUUCAAGUCUUACCAUGUACCUUGUGGAGUGACAUCUGGAGAUGGUGGAGCCUGGUCUCUUGGUUUCUGCCCCUUUGGUGGGGAUGGGCUUGUCCCACCAGCUAAAGAGGACAGACCCUUUGUAGGAAAUGCUCCCAUAUGGACAACAGAAGAUGGGAAGGUUUGGUGUGCUCAUGGGGCUGGAUCACUGCUGCAAAGGGAAGUACCUCCACAGGAUUAUUUUAU